GGGGUUUUAGUAUAACGGUGAAUGCAUAUGACUUUUAAUCAUAAAGAUGUAGGUUCGAUUCCUACAAAUCCUA
rfam:Beauveria bassiana D1-5 mit mitochondrial, whole genome shotgun sequence.